CCAAAGGAUGCCUUAUUACACCUAUUCUAGUCUGAACUAAGAAGUUAAGUAAGGUCAGGUCUGAUUUGUACUUGGAAGGGAGACUUCUAGCAUGGCCAUAAUUUGGC
ensembl:rRNA 5S_rRNA 5S ribosomal RNA